AAAGAAAUGGCUGAGCGGUUAAAGCGGUAAAUUGUAAAUUUAUUGAAAUUUAUCAACGCGGGUUCAAAUCCUGCUUUCUUUA
rnacentral:tRNA from 1 species